AUAAUCAAACAAUCCAUUUAGUAAUUAAAAGGACAAUUAAAUAGAAUAUAAUCAACCAGUCAAAUAAACAUUUAAACAAUCAAAUAAUUACUAAUUAUAAUAACAAAAUAAAAACAAAACAAUAAAAUAAAAUAACAAAUAUAAAAUGGGUGUUAAUAUGGGGUGCACUAGAAAAUACGGCCCAAAGCCCAUUACAAAGCUUAAUAAAUAUGAAAAAUAAAUAAUAAUACAUCAUAGAAAGAAAGAAAGAAGAGAAAAAAAAUAAGCUUUUAAAAGUGAAAGAGGCAGAGCCUCCCUCUAUCACAGUAUGUCAUUUUUUACUUUCUCAAAACAAGUUAGCAUCCAUUAAGGUUUUGACAUGUGGUAUGCAUAAAAGAAAAAUAAAUAAAAAGAAUAAAAUAAUAACCUUGAAAAAAAAAUCUCUCUCUUUUAGAUAGAUAUGUUAGUUAAUACUUGUUUGCUACUCAUGAAUCAACAAAAGAACUUCAAUCAAAACUCCUCUUAUUUUCAACAAUCAAAACCUUAGAUCCUCAUUUUCUUAAACUCAAAUGAACAUAAUAAAGGUUAAGAAAGCUAGGGAUGAGAAGGAUACCAAUAGUCACAAACUAAAUGCAGCGACUUUUUGGCGAGCACGGUGAUAACGAGAACCACCAGAUUGGCAGCGGCGGUGGUCACAGUAAAAUAAUAAAAUAAUAUAUUAUUAUGUUAUAUAACUAAAAAAAUAAUAACAGGAAAAAUAUAUAUAAAACACAAUGAAUUAAUAACAAAGUAAUAUAUUAUUAUGUUCUUAACAAAAAUAUCAUUAAAAUAAGCAAACAUGACCACCAUGCAUUUUCUAAUAUAUUUUACUGUAAUAAAGAGAAUUAGAUUAAAAUCCAUAUUAAAAAAGAUAUUAUAAAACAAACAAUCAAAAAUAAAACAAUUAAAAUAAAUUAGAAAAAGAGAGUUAAAAUAAAAGAGAUUAAUGGUGAUUGUGUGGUUUAUGUGAGUAGAGUUUAUAAUAUACAAAAAAAAGUUAAGAGGUGAUGAAAUUAGUUGGUGUUUAAUAGCAGAGAGUAUUACAUUUUUGGCUUGUGUAUGGAGGAGAUUUGUUGUGGUUUAUGAGUAGUAGUAAUAUGAGAUGGUGUAAGGAAGUAACAUGUUUUUGUAUAAAGAAAAUGGAUGCACUUGGUUACUGUAGGAGUAGCACACAGAGGGAGAUGGAGUAACUUUUAGAGAAUAAUUAUGUGGUGAUAGAGAUAUUGAGGGGGCGGCUAUUUCAU
rnacentral:lncRNA from 1 species